UACGUAGGGGGCAAGCGUUGUCCGGAUUUAUUGGGCGUAAAGAGCGUGUAGGCGGUUUGGUAGGUCCGCUGUGAAAACUCGAGGCUCAACCUCGAGACGCCGAUGGAAACCAUGUGGCUAGAGUCCGGAAGAGGAGAGUGGAAUUCCUGGUGUAGCGGUGAAAUGCGCAGAUAUCAGGAAGAACACCCGUGGCUAAGGCGGCUCUCUAGUACGGUACUGACGCUGAGACGCGAAAGCGUGGGGAGCAAACAGG
rnacentral:rRNA from 1 species